CUCUUCUCAUUGGCUGACACUGCUCCGUGUGCGUCACGGGUCUCAUCAUUUCCGUUUCCUGCUCGCCUCCGGUGCCAUGGCGACCGUGAGGGGACUGAGGCAUCUGCUGUCAUGUAGCAGGUGGCGCCUCGGCAGUGGAGAAGCUCCCCAGUCUCGCAUGCUCGCUGCCGUCCUUCCGGGCAUAUCGCAGGUCGAUAACAAUUCCGAUUUUCUGGGAAAGACGCCCCAUCGCCGGCACCCCGGCAUCUUGCAGCUGCCAUGCAUCAAGGUGCCGCCAGCACUGGCUGCCGCUGCGCAGUUCCUGCUGCUCGAGAGCUCGAUGCCCAAUGUGGAGAAGCAGGUGCAAGCACUGACCAAUUAUCUGUGGAGCCGGCGUUUACCUGUAGAGCCCCAGGAGUUGCAAAGACGGGCUGUCCAUCUUGAGAAGAAAUUCCUGGAAAACCCAGACUUAGGUCAAGUGGAGGAGAAACUUCGUGAAGCUGUGCUGCGAGCCCUGCGCAAAACUACAUACCAUUGGCAAGAACUGAGCUACAAUGAGAGCCUGAGCCUGGUAUAUAUGGCAGCAAGACUGGAUGGUGGCUUUGCAGCAGUCUCCAGGGCAUUCCAUGAGAUCCAGGCUCGAGUUCCAGAGUUCCAGCCUCAAACCUUAAUGGAUUUUGGCUCGGGUACUGGUUCUGUCACUUGGGCUGCUCAUAGUGCUUGGGGCCAGAGCCUACGUGAAUAUUUGUGUGUGGACAGCUCAGCUGCUAUGUUGGUUUUGGCAGAAAAGUUACUGAAAGGUGGUUCAGAAUCUGGGGAGCCUUAUGUUCCAGGUGUCUUCUUCAGACAGUUUCUACCUGUAUCACCCAAGGUACAAUUCGAUGUGGUGGUAUCAGCCUUCUCCUUAAGUGAGCUUCCCAGCAAGGCUGACCGCACUGAACUAGUCCAAACCCUAUGGCGCAAGACAAGUCAUUUUCUGGUAUUGGUAGAGAAUGGAACAAAAGCUGGGCACUGCCUUCUUAUGGAUGCCAGGGACCUCGUCCUUAAGGGAAAAGAGAAGUCACCUUUGGACCCUCGACCUGGCUUUGUCUUUGCCCCAUGUCCACAUGAACUUCCCUGUCCCCAGUUGACAGCCUCUAAGCCCCUGGCCUGUAGCUUUUCUCAAGCUUACCACUGCAUCCCCUUCAGCUGGUCUCUCUGUAUCCUUAUCUUAGAACAAGAAGAAGCAAAAAGAGGAAAAGUUCUCAAUGGUAAUUCUUGCCCGGGGGUCUCCAGAGGAGGCUAAUCGCUGGCCCCGUAUCACUCAGCCUGUCCUUAAACGGCCACGCCAUGUGCAUUGUCACCUGUGCUGUCCAGAUGGACAUAUGCAGCAUGCUGUGAUCACAGCCCGCCAGCAUGGCAGGGAUUUGUAUCGUUGUGCUCGAGUCAGCUCCUGGGGAGAUCUUUUACCUGUGAUCACACCUUCAGAGUCGGAGCUUCCUCUGUCCCCUGCUGACGACAAGGAUUUUCUUACUUAGGCCUGCCAAGGCUGAAGCUCCCUGGUAUCCAGGGUGGGAGUGCUGGCAGCCCUAUGUAUGUUUGCUUGAGGCUUUAAUAAUAAUAAAAAGUUUUCAAAGAGUAGAAA